CGCGAGAUCUCGCGAAGCCGUCAAAAACGUCCCACUUGGAGCGGCACCUAGCUAAGUGGCGAACGUUUCCGUCUACUUUGUUUUUUUGUGAACAACGCGACGAGUUUGGUCCUUUGAGCCCUGGAAGCCCACGCACAGCCCGGCUGGCUAUUUCAGGUCCUCCGCGUGCUCACUAAAUAAAUGAACGGGAUUUGUUGUGCACUCGCUAAACUAAGCUAAGCUAAAAUAAGCUAAGGUUUCGCCACACGGAGAGCUUGUUUGCUGUCGGCGUCCUCGUCGAGGGUUUCAACGCGCGAUGGUUUUGCUGAAGAACCUCCGGCCUCCUACCGAGGGAGUUCGGCUCCAGCAGGCCGACACGGCGGCCGUCCUGGACGGACACAAGCUGGGCAACGGGACGCUCUAUGUCGCCGAAACGCGUCUGUCUUGGUUUGACGGCGCGGGGUUGGGUUUCUGUCUGGAGUAUCCCACCAUCGGCCUGCACGCCAUCUCCAGAGACGUCAGCGCGUACCCCCAAGAACAUCUCUACGUCAUGGUCAACGGAAAACUCACCGACGAGAAUGAGGCAGAAAUGGCGGAGAAGGAAGCGGACGAGGAGGAUGACGGAGUGGGUAGUGAGGAGGAAGAGGAGGAAGAGGAGGAUGGUGGUGGAGAUGAUGAAGAGGAAGGCGGCAUCACAGAGAUUCGAUUUGUGCCUGGUGACAAAGCAGCACUGGAGUCAAUGUUUGCGGCCAUGUGCGAGUGUCAGGCGCUGCAUCCCGAUCCUGAGGACGAGGACGACUCCGACAACGACUUUGAAGGAGAAGAGUACGACGUGGAGGAGGCCGAGGCCGGUAAGCAACUCACCGCACUUCAACCCGUUGUCACCACGGCAACCGGCAUCCCUUUUAAACCCCGCGCGUAUUCCCGUCCGAAUCAGAGCACGGCCACGCCGACAUCCCGACGUUCUACACGUGUGACGAGGGCCUGUCGGCGCUGACUCAGGAGGGCCAGGCCACGCUGGAGAGGCUGGAGGGCAUGUUGGCGCACAGCGUGGCGCAGCGCUACCACAUGGGCGGCGUACGCACCGAGCAGGGGGACGCGCGCUUUGAAGAUGGCAUGGAGGUGGACGCCGACACCGAGGCGGGACAGUUCGAGGACGCGGACGUUGACCACUGAUGGACCACAGGUGCAUCAUGGGAGCACUUCCUGUUUGUUUCAGGCAUUUCCUGUUUGUAGCUGUCAAUCAUCCCAACUCGUUUGCCACUAAACUAGUUCAUUCCCAUCAAGUUACUUUUUGUAUGGAAACAAUAUAACAGUGUGGUAUACUUUCUAGUCAAUUAUCAAUAAAAGAUUAAUUUUUCUA